CCUACGGGAGGCAGCAGUGGGGAAUCUUCCGCAAUGGACGAAAGUCUGACGGAGCAACGCCGCGUGAGUGAUGACGGCCUUCGGGUUGUAAAGCUCUGUUAAUCGGGGACGAAAGGCCUUCUUGCGAAUAGUGAGAAGGAUUGACGGUACCGGAAUAGAAAGCCACGGCUAACUACGUGC
rnacentral:rRNA from 1 species